AUACGUAGGUGACAAGCGUUAUCCGGAUUUACUGGGCGUAAAGGGCGUGUAGGCGGUCUUGCAAGUCAGAAGUGAAAUUCCUGAGCUCAACUCGGGCGCUGCUUCUGAAACUGCAGGACUUGAGUGCUGGAGGGGAUAGCGGAAUUCCUAGUGGAGCGGUAAAAUGCGCAGAUAUUAGGAAGAACACCGGUGGCGAAGGCGGCUAUCUGGACAGUAACGGACGCUGAGGCGCGAAAGCGUGGGGAGCAAACAGGAUUAGAUCCCCUGGUAGUCCACGCCGUAAUCGAUGAAUACUAGGUGUAGGGGGUAUCGACUCCCUCUGUGCCGCAGUUAACACAAUAAGUAUUCCGCCUGGGGAGUACGGCCGCAAGGUUGAAACUCAAAUGAAUUGACGGGG
rnacentral:rRNA from 1 species